rnacentral:lncRNA from 1 species
UUAAAGCCUUUAUUUAUUUCUCUUUCUUUUUUUUUCUCCCUAAGCUGUACAGGAAGGCAAAACCAAAGCACCUUUAUGUGUGAAUUCUGAGAGGCUGAAAAAUCUUUUUGCAGCAUUUACCAGUUGAGUUUAUUUGAUUGCACUUGGAAAGCAAGUCAAGGUGGCAGUCAGCAUGGAUAGCACUGUGAGAAAACUGAACCACGCUCAAAACGUCAAGAAAAGAGAAACAGCUGAGAUUCUAGAAGAUAUCUGAAAGACGUGGUAGCUGCUAAAAAGAAUUAUUUCACUGCAAGCUCUGUGAGGCAGCAUAGCUGGGAGGA